AACGAACGCUGGCGGCAUGCCUAACACAUGCAAGUCGAACGAGACCUUCGGGUCUAGUGGCGCACGGGUGCGUAACGCGUGGGAACCUGCCCUUAGGUUCGGAAUAACUCCCCGAAAGGGGUGCUAAUACCGGAUAAUGUCUUCGGACCAAAGAUUUAUCGCCUUUGGAUGGGCCCGCGUUGGAUUAGCUUGUUGGUAGGGUAAAAGCCUACCAAGGCGACGAUCCAUAGCUGGUCUGAGAGGAUGAUCAGCCACACUGGGACUGAGACACGGCCCAGACUCCUACGGGAGGCAGCAGUGGGGAAUAUUGGACAAUGGGCGAAAGCCUGAUCCAGCAAUGCCGCGUGAGUGAUGAAGGCCUUAGGGUUGUAAAGCUCUUUUACCCGGGAUGAUAAUGACAGUACCGGGAGAAUAAGCUCCGGCUAACUCCGU
rnacentral:rRNA from 1 species